AUUGAACGCUGGCGGCAGGCUUAACACAUGCAAGUCGAGCGGGGGAAGGUAGCUUGCUACUGGACCUAGCGGCGGACGGGUGAGUAAUGCUUAGGAAUCUGCCUAUUAGUGGGGGACAACAUCUCGAAAGGGAUGCUAAUACCGCAUACGUCCUACGGGAGAAAGCAGGGGAUCUUCGGACCUUGCGCUAAUAGAUGAGCCUAAGUCGGAUUAGCUAGUUGGUGGGGUAAAGGCCUACCAAGGCGACGAUCUGUAGCGGGUCUGAGAGGAUGAUCCGCCACACUGGGACUGAGACACGGCCCAGACUCCUACGGGAGGCAGCAGUGGGGAAUAUUGGACAAUGGGGGGAACCCUGAUCCAGCCAUGCCGCGUGUGUGAAGAAGGCCUUAUGGUUGUAAAGCACCUUAAGCGAGGAGGAGGCUACUUUAGUUAAUACCUAGAGAUAGUGGACGUUACUCGCAGAAUAAGCACCGGCUAACUCUGUGCCAGCCGCCGCGGUAA
rnacentral:rRNA from 1 species